AGAAGGGGACGUAGUCACAAGACACACUCAAGACCUUAUGGAAAGAUUCCCCCGCUGACCCCGGGGAGGAGUGAGGAAUUUCUCCAUCAAGUGCGUAUUGAUGAGCUGCAAAGUUCAGUGAACAGGAAAAUUCUGCUCCUUUUAUUGUCGAUGUGACAGGUUACUUUAUUACCAUGCCUUUCACGGCAAUUUAACAGUUACCCUGGUAACGGAUUCGGUGAGGUAAUGUGAUCACAGGCAUUA
rnacentral:lncRNA from 1 species